GUGCUGGCUUUGGCAGUGCAUAUACUAAAAUUGGAAUGAUACAGAGAAGAUUAGGAUGGCCCUGUGCAAGGAUGACAUGUAAAUUCGUGAAGUGUUUCAAAAUUUU